rnacentral:rRNA from 1 species
UUCUCUUGUAGUGGAUCCCCAAUGUGUAAGUUGAGCCGAUUUAAAGUGAGACCGUGAAUGGGUCAUUAUAUCUCUUAUGGUUCCUGGGAGCGGACCUUACUACUUGGAUAACUGUGGCAAUUCUUGAACUUAUACCUGCAGCAGAGCUCCGACCUUCGGGGAGGAUCGCUUUAUUUAAACCAAAGCCAAUCCGACCUCUGGUCCGUGCUUUGAGGAGACUCUGUAUCACUUUGGAUUGAUCGCACGGGCCGGUCGCGACGACUUAUCUUUCUUGUGGCUGCCUCAUCUUCUUACGAUGGGAUGUUGCGCGCCUACCAUGGUCACAACUGAUAAAGAGUAAUCGUGCUACUAUUCAGAAGAAGGCAGCUGAGAAACUGCUACCUCCUCCGAAGGAGGCAGGAGGCCCGCUUAUUACCCCCUCCCACAACGAGGAGGUGACGACAAAUAAUAACACUACGGUACUCUAUUGAGACCCCUGAAUUGAAAUGAGUCCACUCUCCAUCCUUAAAAUACGAUCCAUUGCAAGGCUGGUCUGGUGCCCCCCGCCACUUCCAUUUCCGCUCCCAUAUCUUAUAUUAGAGGCGUUGCGGAUAAUAAGCUCUGAACCGGAUCACAGUUCCCCACGGCUGGCCCGCCUAACCGCGGUUACUGCCUGCUCUGAAGAGCCAGACAGUUUCUCUGGAUGAUCUUCACGGGUCGUCUCGUCCUGACCUGCUACUUUACUUUAAUUAAAUUAGACUGCUCCAAGCAUGCGUGACGCCUGAUUAAUCGUGCAUGACAUCAUGGAAUAUGACCUCGGUUCUGUUUGGCUGCUUGUCCGAACUAAUGUUAUGAUGAACAGGCACAGGACGUUCGCAUUCUUUUGCAACGCUAGAAGUCAUAUUCUUGUACCGUCCCAACACCUGCUACUGCGAUAGCCUUUGCCAGGAA